UAGAGUGGCGCUUGAUUUCAACGCUGAUAGAAAACACCGUACAUCAGUGUUGAUGUCAGGUUGCUUCUUUACU
rnacentral:pre_miRNA from 1 species